AUAGAGAAAUGCAACAUGGAAUGAGAAGAAAGAGCCUCAGACAGGCAGGAAGCAGACUGGAAAAUCUACUCAGUGAUGGAGGAAAGCAUUUUCUUCAAAGAUCUCUUUUAAUGUGGAAUAGCAGAAAAAGGACACACCCUCCCAGAAGAAAAACACUAUAGAAAACAAUGAACUGGAUAGUUACUGUCAGAACUCCUACCUCUCAUCUUCUAACCCAGAUCUUCCCUUCACAGUAACUAACCUGGCUUGUUUUUUGUAAAACUU